rnacentral:rRNA from 1 species
CCUACGGGAGGCAGCAGUGAGGAAUAUUGGUCAAUGGGCGCGAGCCUGAACCAGCCAAGUAGCGUGAAGGAUGACUGCCCUACGGGUUGUAAACUUCUUUUAUAAAGGAAUAAAGUGAGGCACGUGUGCCUUUGUGUAUGUACUUUAUGAAUAAGGAUCGGCUAACCCCGUGCCAGCAGCCGCGGUAAGACGGUGGGUACGAGAGUUACCCGGAUUUAUUUGGUUUAAAGGGAGCGCAGAUGGGUGUGUGAGUCAGUUGUGAAAGUGUGUGGCUCAACCGGAAAAUUGCAAUUGAUACUGGCAGGCUUGAGUACAGUUGAGGUAGGCAGAAUUCGUGGUGUAGCGGUGAAAUGCUUAGAGAUGACGAAGAAUUCCGAUUGCGAAGGCAGCCUACUAAACUGCCACUGACAUUGAUGUUCGAAAGUGUGGGUAGCAAACAGGAUUAGAUACCCCAGUAGUC